ACGCUGGCGGCAGGCCUAACACAUGCAAGUCGAACGGUAGCACAGAGAGCUUGCUCUCGGGUGACGAGUGGCGGACGGGUGAGUAAUGUCUGGGAAACUGCCUGAUGGAGGGGGAUAACUACUGGAAACGGUAGCUAAUACCGCAUAACGUCGCAAGACCAAAGAGGGGGACCUUCGGGCCUCUUGCCAUCAGAUGUGCCCAGAUGGGAUUAGCUAGUAGGUGGGGUAACGGCUCACCUAGGCGACGAUCCCUAGCUGGUCUGAGAGGAUGACCAGCCACACUGGAACUGAGACACGGUCCAGACUCCUACGGGAGGCAGCAGUGGGGAAUAUUGCACAAUGGGCGCAAGCCUGAUGCAGCCAUGCCGCGUGUAUGAAGAAGGCCUUCGGGUUGUAAAGUACUUUCAGCGGGGAGGAAGGUGUUGUGGUUAAUAACCGCAGCAAUUGACGUUACCCGCAGAAGAAGCACCGGCUAACUCCGUGCCAGCAGCCGCGGUAAUACGGAGGGUGCAAGCGUUAAUCGGAAUUACUGGGCGUAAAGCGCACGCAGGCGGUCUGUCAAGUCGGAUGUGAAAUCCCCGGGCUCAACCUGGGAACUGCAUUCGAAACUGGCAGGCUAGAGUCUUGGUAGAGGGGGGGUAGAAUUCCAGUGUAG
rnacentral:rRNA from 1 species